rnacentral:tRNA from 1 species
UUAAUUGAAACCAAAUUAGAGGUAUAUUAAUGUUAAUAAUAUCAAUGAAAUUAAAACUUCCAAUUAGA